rnacentral:lncRNA from 1 species
CUUCAGGAGUGAAGCUGCAGACCUUCGCGUGAUGGAGGUUGAGAAGUCCAACUUCAAGGCACCACAUCUGGUGAGAGCCUUCAUUCCGAUGACAGCCUUCAUGCUGGUAAGAUUUUCUUCAGAGUUCCAAGGUGGUGCACGGCAUCACAUGGCGAAGGAAAUGAGCGUGCUAGCUCAGGUGUCUCUUCCUCUUCUUAUAAAGCCACCAGUCCCACUCCUGUGCUAGUAACUCUUUAAUCCAUCAACCCAUUAAUCCAUGAAUAGAUUAACCCAUGAGGCCUCUGCCCUCAGGACCCAAUCACCUCUUAAAGGCCUGACCUGUCAAUAUUGCCAUACUGGGGACUCAGUUUCAACAUGAGUUUUGAAAGGGACAAACAUUCAAUCCAUAGUAACAUGAGAGCUUUUCAAAGCCCUUCUUUGUUGAAGUAUGUCCUUCUCCAGCCUCUUUUUUCCCAGGCUUUUUGUUUUUUCUAUUGCUUGUGCAGCUGUUAUCCUUUGCUACAGGUGGCAAUAGCUAAUACAUUUGCCUUUAAAUUUGUUUGACAAACACCACCCUGGAAGUAGCCUCAACUCUGGGGAAGCUCCAAGACAGGUAAAAUACAGGUAAGCCCUUGAGCAGAUCCUUCAGGAAGCUACCAUAUGGGUCAAAACACAGAACCACAAUUCUUUAAUUCUUUGAGAAUAAGGUCUGUAUUGUUCCCUCUGUUACCAGCAACCUGCAGCAGGAAAAUGGGCUUCAGUUUUCAAGUCUGCAGCUGAGUUGGGAAGUUGCGGACAGUAACCAGAGGAAAGGCCACAUGGGGACAAGAGAGGGCAACUGUCUACAAAUCUGGAAGAGAGACUUCAGAAGAAACCAGCACUGAUGGCAUCUGAUCUUGGACUUCCAGCCUCUGGAUCUAUCUGCCAGAGCCUGAUCUCAUACACACUGAUGUGGUACAGGAAAUGCCACCUGAAAAUAUGGUACCUUGGCAUUUGAGGAAACAGUAGAAGGAGGUCAUAGAAACUAGAAAGAAUUCCUCCUUGCUCUUUGUCCCCCAAAGGAGCCAUAAAACCUGGGCCGAGUUUCUUCUGAAAAUAAGUUAUAAGAUCCUUAUUCCAGAGGGGUCCUGCCCUGUGCCUGGAGGAAAAGAAUGAAGACACAGAGAUGCCUUGAAGAAUCUGAACAAACAGCCCUUGCUAAGUUCCCCCCAGUUUAUUGACAUUAGAUUAGACCUUUUGUCCUCCAAUUAUACUUCUGUGUUCCUGAAAAUACACAUUUUCCCGUUUUUUCUUUUGUUUGCUUUUUUUGAUCUUCAUUUCUGAAGA